AUAUAUAUAUAUAUAUAUGAGUUAUAAUGAGAACCUCUUGUAUAAUAGGAACUAGGAACUAAUUAGGGUCGUUGGAUCUAACUUAGAUGCACGCUUGAUGAGCGGCCCAGAUUAAUUCACAAUCAAGCGCACUUUCUGUCAUUUCUCUCUCCUCAAGCGUAGCGAUUACCCUACUUCCUAGCUACCUCCAUUGAAGCGGAUUUCGAGCUUUCUCUACUCCAUUGAAGCGGAUUUUGAGCUUUCUGUACUCCAUUGAAACAGCUUCUGAGGUGCAAUUUGUUUCUUGUGGUGGCAGGAAAUCACAUAGGGAUGAGUGGUUUGAGGUUAAUAACUAAAUAAUCAAUGUCCUCUUCACACUUAUGUAUCUUAAUCUAGGUCUUUACACUUUGCUUUAUUUUCCAAUCAGGUACAAUGUUCUUGUGCUGGGUCUCGUACCUAUGUCCAUGAAAGUAUAUAUCUCAUAAAAGUAAACUAUAUGUAUCUAAAAGUAAACUAAUCCUCUCUUAAAGUAAGCAUAUGCUAGCCUAAUUUGGGUGUGAGUGGAUUUUUAGAAUUGAUUACAGAAGCUCCUAACUCUUCUUUUCAGGAUUGCCUAAGCUGGGUGGCAGAAAGACUAUCAGGGGAUGAGAUUUCAAUGUUUGCAAACUUAUGUUGGUCCUCUUGGACUAGCAGGAAUAACGUCAUUCAUGAGCCGUCAACACACGAUCCUAUAAUGCUAGCUACAAGUUUCACUAGGCUUGGAAGUAUCUCUGGGCUCUAUGUAAGAAAGAUGUGGCUACUGAAGAUACAAUCCGGAGAGCUAUGGGCAUAAUUGGUGAGCAUGAGAAAGCUAUUAUUCAACCUGAUCGCAUGUUGUAUGCUCAUAUAGAUGCUAUACAGUGAUGGGAACCUCCUGAAAUUGGGGUGUUCAAGUUGAAUACCGAUGCAGCCUGCUUUAAGGAUAUUUCAUUUGGUCUGGGGGUGUUAUUCGUGACACUACAGGUGAUGUUCUGCUGGCUACUUGUUGCAGGUUGCAGGGCAAAUUUGCAAUUGAUGUUAGUGAGGCGCUGGCUGCUAGGAAUGCUUUGCAAAUCGCAAUUGAAGCAGGUCUCAAUAGAAUUAUAUUGGAGACGGACAAUGCUACUGUACCAUCAUCUCAAGAGCAACAAACGAGAGAAAUGAGGUUGCUCACAUAUUAACACAUUUGAGUAAAUGUUAUGUUGAGAUGAGCGUGUGGAUCAUAGAGGUGCCCAAUGGUUUAUCGGAUGUAGUGGUUCUUGACAUUUCAAGUCUUCCUUAAUAAAUUUUCUUGUUUGCUUGUGUCCAAAAAAAAAAA